rnacentral:rRNA from 1 species
UUCCAGACUCCUACGGGAGGCAGCAGUGGGGAAUAUUGGGCAAUGGGCGCAAGCCUGACCCAGCAACGCCGCGUGAAGGAAGAAGGCUUUCGGGUUGUAAACUUCUUUUGACAGGGAAGAGCAGAAGACGGUACCUGUCGAAUAAGCCACGGCUAACUACGUGCCAGCAGCCGCGGUAAUACGUAGGUGGCAAGCGUUGUCCGGAUUUACUGGGUGUAAAGGGCGUGUAGCCGGGCUUACAAGUCAGAUGUGAAAUCCGGGGGCUCAACCCCCGAACUGCAUUUGAAACUGUAGGUCUUGUGUAUCGGAGAGGCAGGCGGAAUUCCUAGUGUAGCGGUGAAAUGCGUAGAUAUUAGGAGGAACACCAGUGGCGAAGGCGGCCUGCUGGACGACAACUGACGGUGAGGCGCGAAAGCGUGGGGAGCAAACAGGAUUAGAUACCCGCGUAGC